CGGCAACAGCUCAAAUUUGAAAUCUGGCCUCUCGGGGUCCGAGUUGUAAUUUGUAGAGGAUGUUUUGGGUACCGCCCCGGUCUAAAUUUCUUGGAACAGAAUGUCAGAGAGGGUGAGAACCCCGUCAGGUUAAAUAUCUUAACCAUGUGUUGCUCCUUCGAC
rnacentral:rRNA from 1 species